AACGUAAACUACUCUUCUCCGCAGCCAAUCAUUUAUUUCCCUCUCCCUCCCUCUCUCUAUCUAUUAUGAGAAGAGACAUGAAAAUAUUUCUCUCAUAUUACAAUAAAAAAUAAAAAAUAAAAAAUAAAAAAAAAUUCUCAACCAAAGCAGGCCUUCUUAUUGUUGAAGCCAAUGAUCCAUCGGUUUGUUGUAUUGCUGUUUCUGGAGACCUUGUGCUGAUAUUUUGACAGAUUCUGACAUUUGUCUUUUGGAAGUUUCAAAACUUUCAUAGAUUCUCCCCAAAUUAUACAGAUUUUGGUAAGAAAAGCUUGUGAACAUAGAUAUGGCGUCGCAUUUUGACCGGUGGGAAAAGGAUCCGUUCUUCUCUGCAGCGGAGGAGGUCCAGGAAUCCGCCGACAGGAUGGAAUCGACUUAUAGGACGUGGAUUCACUCAAUGAAAGAUUCCAGUAAGUGGAAUUCUGAAGAACUUCGUAGGGACCUUCGUACUGCCAUCGGCACUACCAAAUGGCAGUUGGAGGAAUUUGAACGGGCUGUCAAGUCUAGUUACGAUAGUACCUUAGCUGAUGAUGCCAAAGAGAGGCAUUGUGAAUUCGUAAAUGCAAUUGGGUGCCAGAUUUCAAAAACUGAGAGUUCAUUGCGGGAAUUAUCCAUUUCAGACGGCAAGCCACCUUUGCCAUGGGUGCGAUUGGAUGAAGGAGAAUCCCACGAACUUGCAAUGUUUCUUUCGGGACCAGCAAUGCACGCAGACAAAACUUCUCCAAAAAUUAAUGUCCAGGCUGAACUAUUGGCUAACCCACAAGAGACUGAUAAACAGUUAAUGCACGAGUGUUCAAAGAAUUCACAUCAUUUACUGGAGUGCAAUCUAGUCGAGGCUAUGGAGGAGAAGUUGCCUGGGCAUCGCAGGACGGCAAGUGCUAGUGCUGAUAUUGGUUCCUGGAAGAUUGCUGUUACUGAUGAUGCUUUCCCUCAGAGUUCCUCUGGACACAUUGGGCCAUCCCCUCGAAAGAUACCCAGUUUUUCAGGGUUCCUAAAUACGAUGGAGGCCGCAUCUAAGCUGAAGUGGCCAAAAAAUGGGUACAGGAAAUUGAAGAAUAUGGAUCAUCCCCAAGAAGCUGACAGUACAUCACAAUCUCUGCCAUUGACAAGGGGUGUUAAUGCAUGUUGCGAAAAAAGUAAGAGUUGCCUGGAUGGUUCAUCUGGUUGUGAUGACUGCUAUGACAAGCAACUCUAUAGUUGGUAUGGAGCUAUUCAGAGACUGCUUCAAAGGUCUCAGUAUCAAAUGCAAUAUAGUCGGCCUAUUCAAGUGGUUUUUUGGAUUGUUCUUCUUUGCUUGAUUGUUUUAUUUGCGUUGCAUGCAAUUUAAGGAGCAGCAGUAGGUUCUUCAUUCAGCAUUUUGUCAUUGAUAGCAAGUAUAUGGGGGUGGACAAGUCCCAAAACAGUGUUGCACGUUCUUCAUGCUGAUAGCUGAUCAAGGCAGGGAAUUGAAUAAGUGAUUAUAAAGGGUGCUUGAAGAGUAAUUCAAAAAUUCCAAAUGCUGGCAUCAACUGUUUGUAUCAACGCUUCAAUCAUGUGUAAGGUAGUUUGAAUAGAGUACUCGUAGUUCAAAUGCACUGUACUGCCCUUAGUUAUUAUUAUUAUUAUUUGGGUACAUCGGAAUACAAAUACAACUUUCAAAGUGAGAGAGAAGAAUUACAUGGUGGUGGACGGAGUUGAACCCUUGACCUCUUCCUACUGAGAUGUGCAAUGGUUCUGUUUUUUUUAUAUUGGUUAGCUUCAAUUUUAUCUGUAUAUCAGAAUACAAAUACAAUUUCCAAAAUCGAACUCUUAACCUCGUACUGAGAUGCAAGGGCUCUUACUGGACUAA